UACGAAGGGGGGCUAGCGUUGCUCGGAAUUACUGGGCGUAAAGGGAGCGUAGGCGGACAGUUUAGUCAGUGGUGAAAAGCCCAGGGCUCAACCUUGGAAUUGCCAUUGAUACUGAUUGUCUUGAGUAUGGGAGAGGUGUGCGGAACUCCGAGUGUAGAGGUGAAAUUCGUAGAUAUUCGGAAGAACACCAGUGGCGAAGGCGGCUCUCUGGGACGGUACUGACGCUGAGACGCGAAAGCGUGGGGGAGCAAACAGG
rnacentral:rRNA from 1 species